rnacentral:lncRNA from 1 species
GGGCACAUUGUUGUUUUUGACUUCACACUGCACAGCUGAUUCAAAUGAUUCAAACUCAUCAUCAAGCUUCAAGUGAUACCUUGUAACUGGAGAUUCCUUCAAAACGAUUGUCUACAGUUACCGUGUAGGACACUGCAAGGUUGGGUGACCAAGGACCAGGAGGGGAUCUGCAGCUCGCCGCCGUGUGCCAGAGGAGGAGUCUGCUGCUCUGCAGGAUGUUUCAAGGAUGGGGUCCAACAACGCAGCAAGAGAGGCAAUCCGUGUGCAGGAGAUCUUCACCUCCUACUUCAUCAAAGAGGGUGCUGUUCCCUGACAACACCAUAGAUGUCACUAUGCACAACCAAAAGCUCUUUUAAGAGCCAUUCACAUUGCAGUAAGACUAUUCUUCCAUUUACUGAGCUAUGUCAACUGCAGUUAUUCAAUUCACAGUUUCUCUCCCUUUGAUUUCUACUUCUCAGGUGAGGGUGCUGUUUAGGUAAGGGUGUGAUGUCUGUGCAAAAACAAAACAGGCUAUUUUAAAUCACCCAUAUUGAAAAAAUGUAGAACAAUUAGACACCCUAUAACCCACACCUACACACUCAUGAAUCAAUCUGAUUGAUGGAUUGUGUUGUGCAGUAAACAGGCUCAGGUGUAUAACUGUGGCUCCUUCCACCUUCAAAGAAUAGGCAAGAGGGCCAACCAUGGAGAAUAGUAAGACACUUCAUUAUUUCUAUAACUACGCUGUAUUGUUUGUCCUUGUUGGUCCGUUCAUGUUUUUCAGCAUAAAGUACUCUGCAGCCACUUAGUGUGGUGUGGACACCAGGUGAGGCCACACAGAGAUUCCUGUUGAACACUGUCGCUUUAACUACCUUAUUUUCUCAAUAACAGUCUCUCUCCUUCACUUCAUCCCUCUCUCCUCUUCUCCCUAAAUCCUCUAGGUUAUAUCAGCUGUGUCUGUGAACCCCUCCUGCAUCUGAACUGGCUACAUAGAGGGCACAGCAUGAUCAGAGGU